rnacentral:tRNA from 1 species
GGUGUUGUGGCUCAGAGGCAGAGUGCUUGCCUGGCAUGUGUGAGGCACUGGGUUCAAUUCUCAGCACCACAU